rnacentral:piRNA from 1 species
UAAUGAUCAAUGUGGAAGGGCCUGGCCCC